UCUUAAUAACAAUCAAUUUGCUCCCAAUAUAAUAAGGCCCCUCAUCAAGAAUGGCCUUUAAAGCUUCUUCAUUUUUCAUUUUGAAUACAAAGUAGUCAUUAUUUAAGGUUACAACCUCUUCAAGAUUUUCCUUCCACAACUUGUAAGCCCAAGUCUUCACUUGAAAGAAAGACAAUUUUCUAUCAAUAAAAUAACCCACAAGAGCAUGUUCCCAUUGCUUAAACCCAAUUCUAGAGAUUUCCAAUGGAAUUUGAAGUUAAUCGGUCUCAUAACCCACCGAGUAUCUUUUGAGACUUUUAACUUCUUUUUUCUUAGCAGUCUCAAAUUUAAAUAAACUGCUCAAGUGCGUAGAGAUAACAUUAUGGGAAGAAGACUUAUCCAACCCAUUGGAACUAUGGCUUUGAACCAUUUAUGCUUCAAUCUAAUCGAAUGAGUCCAUAGCACCCGCCAACCCCUCUACACAUGACAUCUGGACCUAAUCAUGCCCUUUUGUUUCAUUGCAUUCUUGCACAUUCGUAGCCUCUGUUGCUGUCUCAAUAUCUCCCAUUGGUUCAAGUAUGGUUGUUUUGCCUAGGUCUUGUUCAUAAACACUAGAAUCUACCAUGGCAUUGUAAACUUCAGGGGAAUCACAAUAAGUCUCUUCAUGUUCAAACUCAAGUUCAGAUUGGGAAAAACUUGAGGAGGGGAAUAACAAUGGAAAGAUUUGAAAUCUGUAACAUGAUAGGUUGCAGCUCCCUCUCUGGCAAUCUAUACUAUUUAAACUCAAUCCCAAACUGGACGAUCUGCUUGAGAUGCUCAGAGACCGAGGCUACGUUGUGUCCUCAUCCAAUGUCGAACUUCCGUUGACACAGAACUUCUAUGUAGCUUUUGGUUGAGGAAGUCAGAAAGCGAAACGUGCGAAACCCUCUGUCUCAAGGUGAUGUCUCUUUUUCUUGAUCGUUGGGUUCGAUCACUGCUGUUGCCAUUGUUGGAGUUAAAACGAUGAUGUAACCCUGAAAUGGACGAAUCUGUGGCAGAGAACGAGUCUCCACCAUUGCUAUCUAACCUCCCUGUGAAUCGUGACUUCCUCUUCGCCUUCUCUAAUGAACAUAUACUCAUUCCUAUUCCACUAGUU